rnacentral:lncRNA from 1 species
AGUAAUGUGGCCCAAUGGAAAGAGCAGGACACCAGGUCCUCUGGCACAGCAUGAGGAAUACGGAAAUAUGUAAUACAUGAAAGCACUGGCAUAACCUAUAUCAAACUAUUUACUACCUCAGGAAUAGGGAUGGGAGGGAAGGAGAGAAUAUGAAUCACAAAAUGUCAGAAAACAAUUUUCAAAAUUUGUUUCUACAUGUAACUGAAAAAACCAAUUUAAAGAAGAAGGAAGGAAGGAAGGAAGGAAGGAAGGAAGGAAGGAAGGAAGGAAGGAAGGAAGGAAGGAAGGAAGGAAGGAAGGAAGGAAGGAAGGAAGGAAGGAAGGAAGGAAGGAAGGGAGGGAGGGAGGGAGGGAGGGAGGGAGGGGAGAGGAAAGAAAGAAAGAAAGAAAGAAAGAAAGAAAGAAAGAAGAAGAAGAAGAAGAAGAAGAAGAAGAAGAAGAAGAAGAAGAAGAAGAAGAAGAAGAAGAAGAAGAAGAAGAAGAAGAAGAAGAAGAAGAAGAAGAAGAAGAAGAAGAAGAAGAAGAAGAAGAAGAAGAAGAAGAAGAAGAAGAGAGAGAGAGAGAGGGAGGGAGG